rnacentral:misc_RNA from 1 species
AGUUCGAUCCUGGCUCAGAUUGAACGUUGGCGGAUGCUUUACACAUGCAAGUCGGACGGCAGCACGGAUUUCGGUCUGGUGGCGAGUGGCGAACGGGUGAGUAAUGUAUCGGAACGUGCCUAGUAGCGGGGAUAACUACAAAGAAAGCGUAGCUAAUACCGCAUACGCCCCUUCGGGGAAAGCGGGGACCUUUCGGGCCUCGCACUAUUAGAGCGGCCGAUAUCGGGAUUAGCUAGUUGGUGGGGUAACGGCUCACUCGGUUAUGACGAUCCGUAGCUGGUUUGAGAGGACGACCAGCCACACUGGGACUGAGACACGGCCCAGACUCCUACGGAGGCAGCAGUGGGGAAUUUUGGACAAUGGGGGAAACCCUGAUCCAGCCAUCCCCCGCGUGCGAUGAAGGCCUUCGGGUUGUAAAGCACUUUUGGAAAGAAACGGCACGGGAUAAUACCCCGUGCAACUGACGGUACCUGCAGAAUAAGCACCGGCUAACUACGUGCCAGCAGCCGCGGUAAUACGUAGGGUGCAAGCGUUAAUCGGAAUUACUGGGCGUAAAGCGUGCGCAGGCGGUUCGGAAAGAAAGAUGUGAAAUCAGAGCUUAACUUCUUUGGAACUGCAUUUUUAACUACCGAGCUAGAGUGUGUCCGAGGGAGGUGGAAUUCCGCGUGUAGCAGUGAAAUGCGUAGAUAUGCGGAGGAACACCGAUGGCGAAGGCAGCCUCCUGGGAUAACACUGACGCU